GAGUUUUGAUCAUGGCUCAGGAUGAACGCUAGCUACAGGCUUAACACAUGCAAGUCGAGGGGAAACGACAUCGAAAGCUUGCUUUUGAUGGUCGUCGACCGGCGCACGGGUGAGUAACGCGUAUCCAACCUGCCCAUCACUUGGGGAUAACCUUGCGAAAGUAAGACUAAUACCCAAUGAUAUCUCUAGAAGACAUCUGAAAGUAGAUUAAAGAUUUAUCGGUGAUGGAUGGGGAUGCGUCUGAUUAGGCUUGUUGGCGGGGUAACGGCCCACCAAGGCAACGAUCAGUAGGGGUUCUGAGAGGAAGGUCCCCCACAUUGGAACUGAGACACGGUCCAAACUCCUACGGGAGGCAGCA
rnacentral:rRNA from 1 species